AAAAAGUGGCAAUAGCAUUAAACUUUUAUUUUGUACCUGAUUUCCAGAAAAUUUUACAAUUUAUUUAUAAGAACUAAAUUCACUUGAGAUUGACAUUUACUUCGGAAGUUCUUACUUACCACUUUUAUACAACAUUUAAUGUGUAACUGUUAAUAUAAGUAGCACUGACUGUGUUUUAUUCGGUAAAAUUUAUGCUUGGAUUGUAAGCCUAAAUUGUGAAAAGCUUUACUGUAGUUUUAAAAUGUUGAUAUCAGUCAAAAUACUAAAAGGAGGAGAGUGUGACAUCGAGGUUUCUGCCUCUGCUUCAAUUAAUAGCGUGAAGCAAAUAGUUGCUCAACAGCUAAGAAUCCCAGUUGAUCAGCAAAGACUUGUUUUCAAGGGAAAAACACUU